GGCGGGGACUUCCUGUAUCAUGGCGCUUAAGUGUUCUUCGUGAGAGUUUUGCUGAGAGUUCCCAACUAACUAGACCACCUUUUGCUGUAAUUUCUGCUGGCUGCGAGCUGCAUUCAAAGGAUCUUGGGCGACCACAAGCCACGCGAUGGAGACUGUGACCUUUGAGGAUGUAGCUGUGAACUUUACUGAGACAGAAUGGGCUUUGCUGAAUCCACCCCAAAAGAAGCUCUAUGGAGAUGUGAUGUGGGAAACGUGUAUGCAUAUUACUGCUAUAG